UACAGAUCAGUACAUUUUAGUGUAUCUACA
rnacentral:piRNA from 1 species